rnacentral:lncRNA from 1 species
GUGGUAGCUUAUUUUUAAGAAAAAGAUUUUCGUGUGGGAAACGGUUUUAAAAAGAUGUAAGGACUGAGAUUUUGAUAGUGCAAUUAGACUCUCUGUUGAUGAUGUUUAUAUGUGUAAUUUAAUUACAUAAGCAUUCGUCAAGUUUCAGGAGAAAAUGAGUUAGAACGGAGAAGUUACGCGAUUAUUAGUUUUUACUUAAGUGAAUAGUAACUCCGAUUUUCCGGAGAAGCCACGGAGUAGAGUUGGCUUUCGGCGCGUAUCGGACUCCGUUCAUAACGGUCCAAUAGCUCGUUUCGAUCGGAUCAGCUAUUCUGGAACCAAUGGCACUGACGGAUUUUAGAUUCGAUGAACGAUUUUCGAGAAAAAGGGAUUUUAUCGAAAAGAGGGUUUUCGCUCUUUGCUGUUCUUGCAUAAUGAGA